rnacentral:rRNA from 1 species
AAUCUCUUAAAGCUUCUCUCAGUUCGGAUUGCAGGCUGCAACUCGCCUGCAUGAAGCCGGAAUCGCUAGUAAUCGCGGAUCAGCACGCCGCGGUGAAUACGUUCCCGGGCCUUGUACACACCGCCCGUCACACCACGAGAGUUUGUAACACCCGAAGUCGGUGAGGUAACCUUUUGGAGCCAGCCGCCUAAGGUGGGAUAGAUGAUUGGGGUGAAGUCGUAACAAGGUAGCCGUAUCGGAAGGUGCGGCUGGAUCACCUCCUUU